rnacentral:lncRNA from 1 species
CUUAGAAGUGAGGAAACAGGCUCCAAAAGCUUGUUACUUGCUUGUAGUCAAACAGAAGGCAGAGCUGCGAAUCAAAUCCAGGUUUGUCUCGACAUGCCACUAGCUCAUACUUCCCUUGGAUCAGCCACUAAAUGGCUUUCACUCCAGUGAGCAGCGACCAGCACCAGAAUUAUGGAACAUUUAUCAACAGCCUAAAAUAAAGACAACACGAGGAGAAUUUGGUUGCUUAUAUAGAUUCAAGGUACAAUCCUGCUGGAUUCUGGGAUUACAGGACUGUAGACAAAAGAGAAAUCAUCAUGGACUGUUCACUGGACAAAAUUUCAUGGAGAGGAGAAGACCUUUGGCGGUUCAUGGAUGUUCUAUAAUAAGUUAGAAUCUCGGAAUCUCGCUCUGUCGCCCAGGCUGGAGUGCAGUGGUGCAAUCUUGGCUCACUGCAAGCUCCACCUCCUGGAUUCCUGCCAUUCUCCUGCCUCAGCCUCCCGAGUAGCUGGGACUACAGGCACCUGCCACCAUGAAGAAAUAUCACAGUGUGCAUGCACAGAAGUACGACCAUGUGAAGAGGUAGCAAGAGAGCAGCAAUCUACAAGCCAAGGAAAGAGGCCACAGAGGAAACCAACCCUGCCAGCAUCUUGAUCUUGGACUUCCAGCUUCCAGAACUAACCAGGGACCCCACUCCCAUGCCGACAGUAUGGGCUGCUGUCUUCAGGACCAUUGCAAGUGUCCUUCACGGUUCGGUUCACAUUUCACAAGCCCCAUGAAGUCUAUCUGGAUUUUCGAUGGAUGUCUUGCCUUUUCCUCUACACACUACAGGAAGAGUGGCCACCCCUGCCAAGGGCCUAGUAUAGUACCCUAUACAUGUAGCUGAUCAGUUGAUUGUUACUGAUCAUAUGUAUCCUGCAUCAUGUUAUAAAAAAUUAACACAGUGCUUGGCACAUACUUGUACUGAAUGUCAGAGCUGCAGCAUGAUCUGGAGGCUUUCCUCGCUUUCUUCUGCUUCCCCUCCCUUGAUCCUUCACAGGCAUUUUCCUCAAUACAUCUCUUGCCUGGCUA